UGCCUUUUUUAUCUUGCAGCGGGAGUUUCAGAGCUGGCCAACAUCUGCAUUGCAUUUGGGAGUCGCCUUGGGCUGCGUUCCCUGAGCUUUGGGCUAUAGGAAAGGAAGCCUGUGGGCUUGUAUGUAGUGCUCAGUCGUCGUUAUCAAGCUGUAUUUGACUGAGGCAUGAGCAAAACUGUCCUGGUGCACCACCCAAGGCCUGGAUGCGCUGCUGCUCAUAACACUCCAGUGCUCUGCCUGUCAUGUUGUAAGGGAACGAAGGGAAAAAGCUGGCAAAAAUGCCAGGCAAUGCAGUCACUCAGCUGCCGGCCUUCCUGACAAACAGCUCUGCUCAUGCACCUCCUCACUAGAACUGCAAUGGCAAAGAGGUCAGCAUCUACUUUGUAUCUGCAAUGACACAACUUCGAACAGUAACAGCAGUUUGUGCUCUGUGGUGAAGGAGCUGGUACCUCAGAUGUGCAAAGGCCUGUGGAAAGCCUUAGGGAUACCAUUGCUGUGGUGUAGGAGAGCAGGAGGAGGGGCUGUGCGAGGAGGGAAAGGAAGGCCCUGCACUGUGGGAGACUUCAAAGUGCCUGAGGAAAAGAUGAGUAUAUACAACUUUCAUGGCACGUCCAGAUCUUCCUUUCCUCACUGCUAUUAGGGAGCGAAAGAUUUUUUAUACAAAUUACUUUAUAUAGACACAGUGUUGUUAAGGAACGUGGCUGGACGUUCCUUAUUAUCUUCAUUUGCACCCUCAAAGCAUUCCAUGAUCUUAGACAUCCAAAACAAGGAACACCUGCUGACCCCACAGUGUGGGCCACGAGCUGUGCUCAGUGCUGUGGCAUGCGGGUGGCAGGUGGCCCCAAUGGCCCCAACAGCCCUGAUGGCCCUAAUGGCUCCUCACAGCACUGCCAUCUCUGCUUUACCUUUGAGCCUUUUAUUGAGGAUGUCACACAGUCUGCUCCAGAACCCCAGCCCUGCCUUGUGUUUACACUCCAACAGAUCUACCCAGGAUUUAUCUCCACGUGCAAGGUAUUUGGUCCUGCAGUUUAACUUCAACUUGAUAGAGUGGGAACUUCCUUUCAUGAAAAGUACCAUUUUUAAGAUAGCUGUGAAUGUUGUUAGGACAGCAAGUCAUAUGAAAACAUUGUUACUCUAUUGCAGUUCAGUGUGUUGCUUCUUAAUGGCAUAGAUGCCAUCUUGCUGCAAACAUUGGAAGGGCAGGCUUCUUAGCAAUUUAAAGACAGCUAAUUUGGUGGACAGAGGUAGCAGUUGCUAUUCUGGGAUCAUCUUUAAUAGUAAAUUUUUAACGAGAAAAGACAGAAUUGGUUGGAUGUUCUGUUCCAUGACUUCACAGCUGGAAAGUGUUACACUGCCAUAAGGAAGGCUGGAAAUAAAUUAAUCAUUAAUCUGUACUGCAGUUUUGUCAUAUAAUGUCAUCUUUUGUCAGCUUGGCUUCCAGACAGCAGUAGGUUGUAGUCCAGUUAACACUUUUAGAGUAAGGAUCACUAAGAUUGCAGCAUCUGUUAAAAUACAGUCUGUGAGUACAGUUAUGUGACAUGGGGACUUCAACAGUCAUUCAGUUUCAGCAGUCCUUCUUCGGCCUGCUUGUUCCAUGCAGUGCAGUUUGCUGUCUCCCUCUGUUGUGCUGGUAA